AGCUUUGCGCAGUGGCGAUAUUGCAGCCAAUAAGGUUUAUCUGAGGUGUGAUUAUUGCUAAUAAAA
rnacentral:snRNA from 1 species